ACAUGGGGGAAAGCUGUCAUUAGUUAGUCAGUUGUCACGUAGUUAGUUACAACUAACACUCCUGCUAAUGGAGCUGCACUCCUUAUAAACUGAUAGUUGGGUAUUGUAAAGGCAAGGAUUGUUUCUGAAAGCAAUACUAUCUUCUCUCUCUUUCUUUUUACAAAUCUGAGCUCCCAAUUAGGGUUCUGAGUGUAGGAUAUUCACUCUUUAGGUUCUGUCGCGUGGCUUUUAAUUCGAUUAAAGGAUUCCGAGUUGCAUCAUCUUAUGUUAUAGUUGAAUUAAUUUAAUGUUAAUACCUUGUUUUCCUGCAGGAAUCCAUGGAGCCUUCAGUAAAAGAGAGGGAAAUAGUUACUGCUGAAGUUUUAGAGAAAGCAGUGUUUGAUAUAUUGGUAAGAUCACCAAUAAAAUCUCUUCUUCGAAACAAGCUCAUCUCUAAAGGAGUAGCUAGUAUCAUAACAUCUACCGACUUUAUUGAGUCACAUAUGGAAAGAAGUUGUUGAUCCUAUGACCUUGUUACCUUUGCCAAUGAUUCUAAAAAAUAUGGAUAUGCAUCUGUUCUGUUGUCUAAGGAGGAUCCUGAUUGAUCAGAAUCUGUAGAUCUACUUAAUUUUGAGCUCCUCUCUACUUGCCGGGGGAUUAGUGCUUGUGGUGGAUAACAGAUCAGCUGUUAAACAACAACUUUAUGUUUCCAACCCCGCUAUCAAGAAAACAGUAGCACUGCCAAUAAAUAAACAAAUCACUCUAUAUUUUUACGGCUGGGUUAGGAUUUAAUGUUGAGGAAAACACUUAUAAAGUCCUUGUUCUUUCGACAAACGAGCGUAAUAAGAUGUAUAUAUGUUGGUUUAGACCUUCUAACAUUGAUGAGCCGAUUGAAUGGGAAGAUGUGAGCAGUCUGGCUCCAUCUAGUUAUGCACGAAAAAAGAAUGUGUUCAUGAAAGGGGCGAUACACUGGGUUGCCUAUAAAAAGGCAGAUGAAACCCAUCAGAGAAAUAGUGUUCUAUUUUAUAAUGUAAAGACGGAGAAUUUUUCAGAAAUAUAUUUUCCUUCCAGCAUAGAAGUUACUAUCGCUUCAAAUUACUUGUUGGGUGGGGAGGAUUUUAAAGUGGAUAUUUCUACAACUGAUCAGUCCAUUUAGUUGGUGGUUGGUUCCUUUCUUCAUGACAUUGGGUUCGAUAUUUGGAUUAUGAACCAAUAUGGGAAUCCAAUCUCUUGGAGCAAGAGAUCCCAUAUUUCACCUUUUACCAUACCGCGUAACACUGACUACAGAUUGAAUGAGUGCCUACCUGAACAAACUUGGAUGGAUCGGUUGUCUAACAGAGAGAUUGAUUUGAUGAUAAAUUGGAUGAGCCCCUUGGGAUAAGACACGGGGAAGCUGUUUGGUGGAAAACAAAAAAAAGGUUUUUGUCCUUACAUGAUGCUGCAACAAGGAACAUCAGGUAUGCCCCCAAUAUUAGGCACACUCAAGUAGAAGGGUUAUAACUCUUUCCAGAUCCCAUGUUUGUUGCUAAGUACAAGGAGUCCCUUGUGUUGCUAUCGAAGGCCCAUUUCCAAAUUUCUACCAACCCUCUCUCUAGACCGCUUCCUCCGCUGUUGGAUGGCCUCCCUACAGCAGCUGUGCAAAAGGAGAUUAGUGUGCUGAACCAACACAAUGAUAAACUAGUUGGUGUGUUGCAUGAUACUAGAUCUAGGGAGAUUGUUGUCUUGUGCCAUGGAUUCAAAUCCUCGAAGGUUUGAACUGUUCCAAUUCUACUAUAGUUCUUGUUCUUCAUUUGCCUAUCAAGCACUUUCUUCAAAUUCUCUACUAAACUUGUUUUGUCAAGUGCCACAGGACAAGUCAUCUAGUCCAGUGGAGCUGACAUAAGUUUUUAGAAAGUAAGUUGUCCCGGCUGUUUUAGAUCUAUUUAGUACUACCAUGCCACCACUGUAACAUUCUGAUUUUAUCUUUACGAAUCUCUUGAGCUGCUAUGGUGUGAAUGUGAACAUCCUAAAAAAAUAAUUGAAUGAGAAGAGAAGAUGUUCAGUUAGGAUUGGCUUAUGAAUCUGCGCUAACCAUGUUCCUGAUUUGAAUUCAUUUCGGGCGAACAUAAUACAAAAUAAAAAUAAAGAUGAGAAGUACUGAUAGUCAUCACUAAAGUAAAUGUAUUAACAUGAUUAAAAUAUAUUCCCUAGUAAUAGUAUUGCCUAUAUAAAUCUUUUUCUUCCACUCGCUGUAUUCCACUAAUCUGCAUUGGUACUGAGAGACUGUAGGUCUUUCAAGACACUUCCAUUCAAUUUGUUUUUAAUUCUACCUCAUCUCACUUUUAACAUCUUCACUCAUCAUGGCUUCACACAUAUGGACACAUCUGAAGGUCAACGGAAGACAUGACCAAACGACCAAGCAUACUCUCUCAUUUGAAGUUUGCUAAAUCUGCAUUUUGAUAGAUGUGUAAGAAUGAUGUCAGAUAAUUCCCUAGUAGUAGGCUACAAUAACAUACCCGAUGUGAUCCCAUGAUUAGGGUUUAAAGAGGGUAAAUUGUACGCAAACCUUACCCCUACAUUCUGUGAGGUACAGAGGUUAUUUCCAAUAGACCCUUGGAUUCCCAAGUAGUAGAAUGCACCAAGGAUGUCUUGUUGAUAAGAUUUUUAGGUUGUAUUGUUUCAAAAUUCUUUGAUUUUAACAAAUUUUUUGCUGAUUUUUUGUUGAUUCGUGAUUGGUUAGGACUGACGCUUUUUUGUUGUUGUGGUGGUACGGUUUCUUGAUGUCAAUAUUUAGGUUCAUUUGAGGUAAACAAAUCUAGUUUGGCAAUGCCCUUGGUAAGGCACAUUGGGUUAUACUAGUAGAGCAUCAGUAUUUAGCUAGUGCUCAGCCAAUCGUCCAGCAUCUAGUCAUACAAAUAUAAGUACGAGCGGUAGUUUAGGAAUUACUUGUAUCAAUAUGAUGCAAGUACUUGCAAAUUUUCUUUCUACUUUUUCGAGCAAAUUGUUAUGAAGAGAUAAAACUUUUAAGUUUAAGUAUCACAGCAGAUGACUGUUUCUCCAUGCUUCUUUAUUGGACUUCGACAUUUUGGUGAAUCUUGCUUCUGCUAUGGAAAAAGAAAGUAUCAGUGCAUUUCACUUUAAUUUUCCUGGAAAUGGGUAAGCCCUUGGUAUUAAAAGCACCAUCUAUAUUGUUUGGUCGACACCCCUUCACUACGUGUGGCUCCACCACUGUUCAUCACCCUUCACCUAUAUCUCUAUGUUACAACUCUUCAUUACCCAAGUCUCUAACUUUUCAGCUAAGUUUUAGUUGAAAGAUGAAAGCAUCUACAAUAAAAGGAUAUAUUAAUGUCCAAAAAGAUUAAUAGAUUAUACUAAAUAUUGGGCACAUGCAGAGAAUUCAGCUAAUAUUAAAAUUUAAUUGACAAAAUAUUUAAUAUAGUAUAGGGGUAUAAUGGUAAUUCAACUUUGAAGUUAAAACCUUCCCACUUAUAAUAAUACAAGACAAAACAACAAGCAAUAUACAUUAUAUAAAAAAAGUCUUUCAAUUUAAAGAUAUUGAUAAUAAACAAAUGGAAAAGUUGAUCAAUAUUAAAGGAAAAAACUAUCUUUCCUUUCUGAAAAUUAAAAAAAAACUUACGUUGGACAUAUCUCGUGGAAGAAGUAUAGUUAUAUAUCAAUAUAAUAAUUGAAAUAUUCUUAGAGAAGACAUAGUUAUUUAUCAAAAAAUUAUGACCUUUGGACUUUUUUUUACCUAAAUUUCCAAGAAAAUAAAAAAUGAAAAAUAAAAAUUUAAAAGAGAAAAAUGAUAAUCUAACUUUGAAGUUAGGAGCUUCCCACUUAUAAUAACACCAGGCCAAUUAUGUGAAAGUAAUAAGCAAGAAACCUGUAAAAAUAUUAAUAAUUAGACAUACAAAGACAAUGAGUUAACUAAUGAUAAAUGUAAUUUCUAAUCGAACAAAAUCAAUAUAAUUGAUAUGGAUUAUAUUUUGACAAAUAAAUGUAUGGAAGUUUCACAAACAAAAACCAUUUUUCAAAGUUGAAAGCCUCAAUUAAAGAAUUGCUCAGACAAAAGGCUAAAGGUGGAAAGAAAUCAAAAACAAAACAUGUUAAUAAACCAAUGAAAUUCAAGAGGAAACGAAAGUAACAAAACAAAAACAAUUGUAUAUUGACAGUGAAAUAUUAGCAGUGAUCAUAUACAUACCUGGAAAAAAUGUGUCACGACCCAAAUCCGGACCGUGACUGGCACCCACACUUACCCUCCUAUAUGAGAGAACCAACCAAUCUAAACUCUAACAUUUCAAUAUAAUAUCAAUAGUAAAUAAUGCGG